rnacentral:lncRNA from 1 species
GGAUAUAAUAUAAAUGUUGUGUGUCAUGCUCUUGUUUCUACCAUAUUUCUCUCAAGUAGUUAGCCUGUUAUGUUUAGACUCUCAGUCCCUGUUUAGCCAUUGCCACUGUGUGUGAGAUAUUUAUCUCGUGUACGUGUACUGGCGCUGCUGCUACGCAAAUCUUUGUCCCGCGUCCUAACAUUUAGGCAUGACAGAAGAUCCAAGACUUUCACGAAUUGAGGCGUGUUCUGCUUAAGGAUAUUAGUGACCGCUAAGAGAAAAACAUUAAAAAUAAGUAGUCA